AGUGAACGCUGGCGGUAGGCCUAACACAUGCAAGUCGAACGGCAGCACAGGAGAGCUUGCUCUCUGGGUGGCGAGUGGCGGACGGGUGAGGAAUACAUCGGAAUCUACUCUGUCGUGGGGGAUAACGUAGGGAAACUUACGCUAAUACCGCAUACGACCUACGGGUGAAAGCAGGGGACCUUCGGGCCUUGCGCGAUUGAAUGAGCCGAUGUCGGAUUAGCUAGUUGGCGGGGUAAAGGCCCACCAAGGCGACGAUCCGUAGCUGGUCCGAGAGGAUGAUCAGCCACACUGGAACUGAGACACGGUCCAGACUCCUACGGGAGGCAGCAGUGGGGAAUAUUGGACAAUGGGCGCAAGCCUGAUCCAGCCAUACCGCGUGGGUGAAGAAGGCCUUCGGGUUGUAAAGCCCUUUUGUUGGGAAAGAAAUCCAGCUGGCUAAUACUCGGUUGGGAUGACGGUACCCAAAGAAUAAGCACCGGCUAACUUCGUGCCAGCAGCCGCGGUAA
rnacentral:rRNA from 1 species